rnacentral:tRNA from 1 species
AUCGGUUUAGUAUAAGAAGUAGGAAUAUGGUAAAUUGUAAAUUUAAAGCUAGAGUAGUUCUAACCGAGA